UGCCUGUCCACCGUGUCAAAGUCAUGUCUUCAUCAUCCUCAAGGCCCCAGCUGACUGUGCCAUCACCUUCACCCUUCUGGCCCUCUUCAAGCUCCUCCAACAAGCGGAAAUUGCGUGGAACUUUAACUCCUGAGGAGGCCGCCAUCUUCUUCAGCCGAGUCCAGAAGCACACAGAGGUGUGAACAUCCGAGCGCGCAACACUGAAGGAGACCCAGCAGCAGCAGCACACCGGCGGACCAGCGCACUGCAAGCUGCUCUGCCAUGCAUGACAUACACUGCUUUGCAAAAGUUUUCAUACCCCUUGAAGAAGUUGUUGACAUUUUGCAUCAUCACAGCCACAAACUUUUAAUGUGUUUUAUGUGCUAGACCUAGAAAUGGAUGCAUGUUUUUUUUUUUCUUAACAGUUUUUACAAAUAAGAAUCUGUAAACUAAAUACUUUAUGGUACCAUCCUUUUCUAUAUUUACUGCUGCGAGUCUUUGGUGGUGUGUCUGUAAGGUUUGCACAUCUACAGGCUGAAAGAUUUGCUAAUUCUCUCCAAAGAAGCUCACGAUCAGUCAGAUUGGAUGAAGAACAUCUGUAAACAUCAGUUUUUAAGUCUCGCCAUUAAUGCACAAUUGUUUUGUUUUUGUCGCCAUUCUAAUACGUGAAUAUGCUUUGACUGAACCCAUCCCACUGAAAUUUAGCUGCUCAGGUCUAAAGCCUUUGGCAGGCCUUAAAUGGGUUCUCCUACAACAUUGCUGGGUAUUUAACUGCACCCAUCUUCUAAUUAACUCUGAACUUGGGAUAUUAUUUAAUAACUUAACCCUCCUUUAAACUUCUUCAUGAAACUAAUAGUUUCUAACAAACCCAGUAGAUUAAAAAAAUAUAUAAUUUUCCUCCUGCUUCACAUAUAUGCACCACUUAGUGUAGGUUUGUCACAUAAAAUCUCAGUAAAAUACAUUUAGGUUUUUGGUUGGAAUGUUGUUAAAUCCAAAAAGGUUCAAAGGUUAUAAAUUCUUUUGCUCGCCAUCAAUUUUCCUUUAAAGAAAACCCGAUGCCUGAAUCUCAGCAUCUUUAUUUUUUACCUGUAAAACCCUUUUAACACAUCAAGUUGAGAUGUUCAGCUUCUAUUUACCCCACAUCUACUGUGUUGGCAUUAUAAAAUAUCUAAUAUAUAUUCCAUUAUUUUUAUUUCUGCUGGAGUGUGUGUUGCAUGGCAAAAGUAUACCUUACCAAAGAUGCCGUAAUGAUUUGACCAACCUAAUCUUUAAGCCUUCUCACCACUUCCUGCUCCUGUGAAAGUCAGGAUGCGGUUACAGAUAUGAUCCGCGGGUUUAAAAAGAGCAAACAUCUGUUAAUAAAGCUGCCAUUUCACAUGUCUGCAGUGCUGUGCAAAAAGUUUAAACUAAAAGUCCUAUAUACCUUGCUACCAAUAAAACUGUCUUUGUUUUAAACCUCUAAAGUGGGCGUAAUCAAUAAUUUUUCAGGCCUUCUCAAGAUUUUAUUAAAGCUUCCUUGUACUUUAGAUGCUUUUUCUAAAUUUUUUUGGUCAAGCCCAUGACAGCAUAUUGUACUGCGUGCGUAAAUAGGAGAAAAGUACAAAGACCCAGGCCUACAAAAACUACUAUGAUUUAGAUCUGAACAUCAUGACUUUAAGAAACGGGACAAAAUAAGAUUUUGGGAGCUGAAAAAUGAACCAUAGUUGAUCAUUUUCUUUGGAAAUCACCUGAAUGAUCCCAAAAUAAUACUUAAAAGGUAAGAAGUUUUGUCUUUGUUCAUUUUUACGGCUACAACUAAAUUAAGGGGAACGUAUUGCAUCUUUAGGUCGUUAAAAGAGAAUUGAUUUAAAACUGGUUAGUUAUCGGUUGUGUGUAGACACAACCUCUACAGUAUUAUGUUUGGAAACUUUUGUAUGCUUGACUUAUUCAUAGGUCAGUUAAGUGGCUUAAGCUAAAAAAACAUUUUUAUAUAUACCUUGGCUCCCAACACCACAUGAGAUGUUUUUAGUUUUAGUGGCUACGGUUAAAUGCGUUUUCAUGUAUUUUAGUCAUUCUACCUGUAGGUUAUGUUUUGUCUAGUGCCUUUUAUUUUUUUAUGCAUUGCUCUGUACAGCACUUUGGUCCUAUGUUGUAAUUCAAAGUGCUUUCUAUAUAAAGCUUGAUUGGAUAUAUAUGGAUUUUCUCUAAAAAACAGGCCAGAAGUGAUAAGAGAAUUCAUUAUGAAUCAUAUUUAAUUUUCCCCACAUUUUGUUGUAUUUAAUGAAUGUUAUAGUCAUCAUUUGAAACUUGUGAAAUUGUAUUUGUUUACUAAUUUCCAGCCAAAAGCACUUUAAAUUUAUCAUUCAUUUAAAAAAAAAAAACCUUAAAACUCUGAAUCACUGGAUGGAUUUUCUCAAGAAAACAGCCAUUGCCCAAGACUUUUGCACAGGCUAUAUUCCAACAUGUAUAAGAAAAAAAAAAAAAUAAAUGUUUUUUUUCACAAAUGCAAAAUAUUUUUGGAAUUUUCAAACCCAACAGCUUUCCAAAUAUGUAAAAAUGUUAUUGCGAGAUAAAACUACAAGUUCAUUUAAAGGGAAGCUAGAUAUUGAUGGGAAAUUUAACAUGCAUUAGUCGUUGUAGAACCAGCGUCAACAUCCAGGAAAUUGCAGUAACCACAGAUAGAAGACAUCCUGACAGCAGCAGCUGAUAAGACAGCAGUUUUGAUGACAAAACAUGAUUGUUGAACCUAUAUUAAGUUACAGAAGAUAUGUAAAUUAGCCUGUUUCGAAAAAUUAUCUUUGAAGACGUACAGUAAAAAGUACAUUCAGUAAUGCCUCUUGAAUAUUAUUCUACCCCCUGAAUGGCAAUUAUGUAACAACUUAUAAAAGCCCCAAAAUGUUAAAUAUUUACAAUUUAAUGUAACACCUUUAAGAAUGGAACAUUCUGACUGCCAGGCUAUAAUAAUAAUAAUAAUAAUAAAUAAAACACUGAAACAUCUUUGUGUGCAACAUUUUAAUUUUUUUCUAUUAACAAGUUUAUGCAAGCUAUAUUGUAACUACUGAUCAUACACCAGAGCAUGGAAAAAGCGCAACAUUACUUCAAAACUCAUGACAAACAAAAUCUUACAACAGCCUCUGGUUGCAUUUGUUUACAACCCUUGCCCCCCGCCCCACUUCUUCCCCAUCUUUAUAGACACAAAAUGGCCCAAACCCUUCAGAGUCACUGGUUUAAUUCUGAACCAUGUUUUUAAAUCUCAGAAUAAUACAUUUACGUUUUUACUCAAACUCUUUACUUUUUACAGUUGGACAAAAGGACGCUGAAACAGGAUUUAAUUUGACGGACUUUACAGAACUGCCGCGGUGCGCCUCAAGCGAGCAGACGAACGGUCUUCCCAGUGACGGUCAGGUAGUCGUCGUCAGCCAGGGCUCGCAGCGCCUCGUCGAACAGCUCCUUG